GGGAAAUAUUCUCAAUUGAGAAAGUUCUGCAUUUCAGAACAAUUACAUCUGUGUUUGCCAGGAUUUCAUUAGCCAAAAGCUGUAGUACGUACUGAAUAAUGUGCACAGAGUGAAAUAGUAAAUCACUGCAUACACAAUGAUAGGGCUGUUGUGUGAGUCAGUACAUGGCAACACAUGUCAGUCCUCGUCAGCGAACAGCGUGCCUUGGUUCUGUGGACUGUCCGAUUUCAGCUACCUCACCUUUUUCUCAAACACCUUCUUUCUGGAGCGGUGUUUGUCCUGAGUUGUGUGGAAGUAACAUCCAAGUUCCUCUGUGCCCAUGUUCUCAUUGCAAGAUAUUCUACUGGGUUCUUGACUCCUGCAUCUUUGGAAAGGUAUUGUCUUUCCAAUCAUGGUGUCUCCUGUUAGUGAUUGCUGCUGGAACAGCUGCACUCCAACCUCUGCAAUGAAGAUUUUAUUUUUUGUGCGUGCUCCUGACUUGUCUGCCUGUAAUUAAAAUUGAGCAAGCAGAACAUCAGUGAGUAUGGGAACUGCUGAAUCACGGCCUGAACCUCUGGUUGACCACCUGAGAUGAGCACCGAAUCAGCCGUGGGAGCACAGGUGAAGGCAAUUCAGCUGUGUGACCGGAAGGGGUGGAGCCAGGCUGCACCUCUCCUACACCCCAUUUAAGGGCUGACUGCCACUGAGGAAGGGUCUCUCUCUGGAGAUUGCUCUUCAUGGAGUUUUUGUGAGCCUCCAACAUUGCUAUGGGUUCUGAUCUGAAGAGUAUGGCCCCAGCAGCAGGAAUUUGCAAGACCAGUCUCCUUUGGGUUGCAAGACAACUUUGAGGAAGUGGAGUGUGAGAAAGGUGAAGACCUAAAGAGAAGGAACUGAAGCCAAGAACAGUAAAAGUACACCACUGUGGAUUCCUACAGGGAUAAGACCUGUAUUGUUGUAUGUGUGUUAGUAGCUAUUAACUGCUAUAAGCACUGUUACUACUCACUAUAUAUAGCUUCACUGUUUGGCUAAGGAAGGAGACAUUUCCCCUGCCGCAGUACAUCCUUUUUUCAAAUCACAUUUUUUCAUAGGAUCCUUUUGAUUUUGCUGUAGCUUUUGAUGAGGUUGAAAAACAUCACCUGACUGCUUGUUUCAUCAAAAUUGGGCAGCAUUAAAAUUCUGUGAAUCUGCUGAGAUCUGAGGUGGACUACGUGCUCCUAAGACUCACAGUCCAUGACAGGCUUCAUCUCAUCAAAAUGAAUGGUGUCUCUUUAUGGCCUGGCACGUACCGGCAGAAGGUUCUAAGUUACACCAAUGGGACAUUUAAACCUGCCCUAAAAUGCGUUUCAGGUAGGAACAGAAUGACUGUGGAGCAGCCUGCAAUGCCCAUUUGUCGAUUUCCUUGCACUGCACAUGAUCAAUCUGCAUUGCCAUGGGUAAUUUUUGCUGCAAAAGGUGCCUUGUACCAGCUUGUUGAAGCACCAUGGGAAGACACACAGACCACUUGUUUACUCUCUCCAUUUCUAGGAGGUUGGAAGAACCAAACCAUGCUAGAAACAGAACCGCUGCAAGCCAGGCAGCUGAACAGUCAGAGCUUAUGGGGGAAUCCUAGGAGGACUAUUGGAUUGAGAUUUGAGGGCUCAUCAGAGCAGAACGUUGGAUGCAGAGUUCAAAGUGCCCUUGUGUGGGUCCAUUCAGAAGCCACUCAGCAGACCACAGGCGCAUACCUUGUGAGUACUUGGUCUCCUGGAGGUCACACUGCCCCUGGAUGUUUGCUACUAGCUGCUGUGCAGCAGCACUGCCAGAUGUGGGGGAUACAAUCUGUUCCUGGCCUUUUGCUGCAGACAGAUGCAAAACCAGGACUGCUCCUACUUUGGCUCUGACUCCUGGUCGUCUCAUGUGUGACCUCAAAGCUACUGCACACCAUUGUGUACCUGCAGACUUACUGGAGCAAAGCCUCCAAAUGGCAAAUGGAAAAGCCAUCUGGACUUGUCCGUGGCCCUGCUAACUCUCAUGGUGCUGCCUUGGCUGUAGUCAACCACCUCUAGCAGGAGGAAAUGUCAUCCUUAACAAAACCAGAGAAGCUUAUCAAGUCACUGAGCAAACCUACAGUGUCCCUUGUACAGGCAGAGAUUCUUCUGAAGCCCCAUCAGAAUUUCUGGUCCAGUCAUCUGCCUCAUUCUCUCUGUUCAACAUCUGUGGUGCUUUUGUUCAGCAGGAAAAAGCAAAGAUGUUUAAAAGAAAACAAAAAACAGAGCACAAUGCAAACAAACCAAAUUAAAGAAAACGUUUUAAAGCAUUUCCUUGCUCACAAGAUGUGAGAUGGUCAUGUGUUUAAAACUGCAAUAUUAUUUCUGGCGACCGGUCUUGUGAUAUCCUUUUGUUGAUUUUUUCCAACCUCUCAAGAAACUGGAAUGAAAAUAUUUUACUGAUGUUACCAUCCCUGGGAACGGUUUGUCAACGCUGACCCAGGUUAAUGCUGCAAACUCAAAAUAUUUGGCAUGUGCUUUUGUAUUUUUCCUUCAUCAAAGAGAUUAUAUGGGGUGAAGGUCUGUUCACAUGAAAGCAGUGAGAGAUACUGGCAGUGUACUUAGCAAAACAAGAGGGGCCCUUUUAUAAAUGUGUGUGCAUAUAUGCAAAUAUGCUUUUGCAGAUGAUAAUAUAAUCAUGAAAAAGUCAUUACUGUCGCAUUAAGGUAGCUGGCUAACGGGAAAGCUGUGUGGAUGUUGUGGGGAUGGAUAUACUGUAGAAACAAGGACAUAUCCAUCACAGUUCUGUGGCAGUUCUGUGACCAGGGGAAUCAAUGGAGCCUGAUUUUCUAUGGCUUUGUGCCCUGAUGUUAUGACCCUAUCGAGAUUUUUCCAAUGUCUCAUAGGAGAUGCUGCACUUUUUACCUCAGAGAGGCACUAAGCACGGCUCUUAGCUGACUGCCUACUUUCAGAAUACUUUUAAGGAUGUAAGAGGGUUGGGUUUUUUUGGAUUUUUAUACCUUUGCCAAAUGUGCUUGCUAUAGGCCUAAACAUUUGAAGAUUCAUAGAGAGGUCUCAGAUGUACAAAGAGACGGCACGGAGUCCUAAAGCCAAUUUCUGUGAAAUCAAUUUAAGUGUCCUCACACUUUAGCUAUGGAAAAGAAAAACAAACGUGAAUUAAAACAGAAAACAUGAUUUUAAACGUAAAUACGGAAUGUGAUGGCUAAGGAAGAAAAGAUAAACAUGCAGAUUAAAAAUCAGUCACUCAGGGGAGGCCUUCCGCUAACUUGCAAUGAGAAUUUCGCACCUAAUUGCAAUCUGUGUCUUUCAAAAUCACACAACCUCUGCUGUAAAAGUACAUGAAACUUCUCACAGACGACAUUAUGUUAAAAAACUCCUCCAUUUGCUCUGGUGCCUGGGAAUAAACAAACCUGACUUCUGGUUGCAGCUUGC
rnacentral:lncRNA from 1 species